GGCCGGUAAACAUUCUUCGUAGUG
rnacentral:siRNA from 1 species